rnacentral:rRNA from 1 species
GACGAACCGUGCGAACGUUGUUCGGAAUCACUGGGCUUAAAGGGCGCGUAGGCGGGCCGUCCAGUCCGGGGUGAAAGCUUUCGGCUCAACCGGAAAAGUGCCUCGGAUACUGACGGCCUCGAGGGAGGUAGGGGCAGGCGGAACUUCCGGUGGAGCGGUGAAAUGCGUUGAUAUCGGAAGGAACGCCGGUGGCGAAAGCGGCCUGCUGGACCUCUGCUGACGCUGAGGCGCGAAAGCCAGGGGAGCGAACGGG